GAAGCACCAGGGAGGGAGAUAGACACAGGCUGCUCCCUCGUGAUCCUCCUGCCGACCUAGGGGAGGCCCUGGGCCAGGAGGAACCUGACCGGGAGGAAGGCCUGUGGCGACCAGGAUUGCCAGCCACUGAGUACCUGGAGGGGCCCGGCUGUAGCCCGGGCCAGCGUGAGCCCGACACAUACAGGGAGCUGGAGCUGCCAGCCGCGGAAUACCCGGACGAGCUGGAGAGACCCGCUUGAGAGACCGGGAAAAAGAGAAGCCAGUUGAGAUGGGCUGGAGCUGUUAUUGCUGCAAUCUGAUUCCUUUUCGUAAAAGACAAAACAAGGCAAACACACACAAGAGGGGAGAGGAAAGAACAGCAAAGCUAGAAACUGCAGCUUCUGUUUCCGUUUGUAUUCACCGCCUCACAGCCAGGCUCUGGCCUGGCACAAGUUUUGCAAAAUACACGUUCUUGGCCAGACUCUUAUUAAACAGAAGGCAAAAGGACAGAGAGAUAUAAAGGGAGAGAGACACGCAAAGAGGUCAUGCUAUCUCUGGGCCUGAAGCUGGAUGCCGGCCAUAACAAGGACAGGAGGUAGUUGCUCCUUCCCCCAAGGAAGGCUUGGCUGCUGCCUGAUUGUGUACUUCUGGUUCCAAAUGAGAUGUGCGUUUGACCGGUCAGUUCAUAACUCUGGUGUUCAUAACUCUUGAGAUUCUACUAUGGACCAGAACUCCAUGGAGCUGAGAGAUCAGUCCUGUCCUUUCCUUGGUGCAAUUACAUGACCACUUUAGGCUCUCAGGCAUGUGAGGAAGGAGAAGAAAAACAAGAUGUGCAAGGAUGUAAGUCAGGCUAUAACCAUGAACACCUAAUCAAUGCCAUCAAACAGCUGUCAAAGGAGAUGCUACCAUCUUCCUUGUUGUUGAAAGGCAACCCAAGAGUCCCUGAAGACACAGUGUCUGGGACAUGUAGGUGAGAAUUCUUCAAUCUCUUCCUCAAAUUUCAAUCCUUUGGAUGUUUGCCUACAGAGAGGGCAACACCAAUAAAUUGCAUUAAAUAUAAAUUAAUACAGUAGAAAUUUUUCCAUAGAUAUUCUAGAUACAUCACUGUUAUUGCCCAUCUCAGAAGACUCAUUGGGUGAUGACUUACCAUCUCCUCUUUUAUUGUCCAGUUCAUGAGUUAAUCCUUCUGGCUGCCAUUUGAAGCUGUGGGCAAUUAAUAAUUCAUCACUGUAUGCUGAAAGCAUAUUGUGUUGUGUGAAAGAGAUGUAAUAUCAAAAUAUAUAAAAUAAUUUCUGGAGUCAUUGAUUUGACCUGCUCUCUCUUUCUCUUAGUCUUUUGGUAACGUAAGGAGUGGAAUUUGAGCGUUAUUACACUAGGGUUUUAUUAAUAGGUUAGUGACUGUAGAAAUAAAAACAACAAAAUCUAUGUGUAUAAUUUGAAGGCAAACUCUCCCCUCCAUUAAUCCAGCCUUAAAGACCUGCUGUAAACAAAUGCAUUUCAAGGGAAAGUUGCUGAAAAAACAAAAUCCAUUUUUGAAAAAGUAAACAAGAUACAAAUGUCUGUCUAAAAACUCUAAACUUUGAGUUGUUAGGGGAAAAGAACAAUUUUAUUAAUUAGGUGAUCAAUUAUUGCCAUAUUAGGAUACCACUUCUUGGGCUGGUCCAGUGCAGCUUGUGUUUGUUUGGGAUACUUUUAUUAUCCUCUUUGGCCAUCAAUAAUGAAAUUGUUCCGGUGAGUUAUUUAAUGUAAUUGCUAUAAUUCUCUAAUCUGAACGUUUACAUCAAUGUUUUGGGCUGAUUACAAAUACAUUCACCAUAUUUUAUCUAUGUUGAUUUUUCAACAUCUGUACCGAUUGUGUUCUGAAAUAAACAGCCAUGCUUGA